AUGGCCGCGGUAUUUUGACCGUGCAAAGGUAGCAUAAUCAUUAGUUUUUUAAUUGAAAGCUGGUAUGAAAGGUUGGAUGAGAAAAUAACUGUCUCUAUUUAAAUUAUUUAGAAUUUUAUUUUUAAGUAAGAAAGCUUAAAUUUUAAUUGAAGACGAGAAGACCCUAUAGAGUUUUAUAAAUUUUAAUUUAGGGAAAUUUAAGAAUUAACAAAUUUUUAAAUUAAAAUCUAUUUAGUUGGGGCGAUUGAAAAAUUUAAUAAACUUUUUUUAUUAAUUUAAACAUUAAUUUAUGAUUAGAUGAUCCUUAUUUAAAGAUUAAAAGAAAAAAUUACCUUAGGGAUAACAGCGUAAUUUUUUUAAAGAGUUCAAAUCGAAAAAAAAGAUUGCGACCUCGAUGUUGGAUUAAAAUAAAAUUUUGGUGUAGGAGCUAAAUGAUUUGGGUCUGUUCGACCCUUAAAAUUUUACAUGAUCUGAGUUUAAACCGGUGU
rnacentral:rRNA from 1 species